GUCUUUUUGAUUAUAAUUUAAAGUCUAACCUGCCCACUGAAUUUUUUGAAGGGCCGCGGUAUUUUGACUGUGCAAAGGUAGCAUAAUCAUUAGUCUUUUAAUUGGAGGCUUGUAUGAAUGGUUGGAUGAGGUAUUAACUGUCUCAAUUUAAUAAAUAAUAGAAUUUUAUUUUUAAGUUAAAAAGCUUAAAUUUAAUUAAAAGACGAGAAGACCCUAUAGAUCUUUAUAAUUUAUUUUAUAAUAAUUUUUUAGGUUAAAUUUAUUUUUAUAAAAUUAAUUAUUUUAUUGGGGUGAUAAAAAAAUUUAUAAAACUUUUUUUUGUGUAUUAACAGUGAUAUUUGAUUAAUUGAUCCAUUUUUUGUGAUUAUAAGAUUAAGUUACCUUAGGGAUAACAGCGUAAUUUUUUUGGAGAGUUCUUAUCGAUAAAAAAGAUUGCGACCUCGAUGUUGAAUUAAAGGUUAAUUUUAGGUGUAGAAGUUUAAAAUUUUGGUCUGUUCGACCAUUAAAUC
rnacentral:rRNA from 1 species